rnacentral:rRNA from 1 species
GGGCUUGACAUCCCACGAACCUGCCCGAAAAGGGGGGGUGCCCGCAAGGGAGCGUGGAGGCAGGUGGUGCAUGGCUGUCGUCAGCUCGUGUCGUGAGAUGUUGGGUUAAGUCCCGCAACGAGCGCAACCCUCACCCCUAGUUGCCACCGGGUUAAGCCGAGCACUCAAGGGGAACUGCCAGCGUCAAGCUGGAGGAAGGCGGGGAUGACGUCAAGUCAUCAUGCCCCUUACGCCCUGGGCUACACACGUGCUACAAUGGCCAGUACAAAGGGACGCGAGACUGCGAAGUGGAGCUAAUCCCAAAAAGCUGGUCUAAGUUCAGAUUGCAGUCUGCAACUCGACUGCAUGAAGGAGGAAUCGCUAGUAAUCGCGCAUCAGCCCGGCGCGGUGAAUACGUUCCCGGGCCUUGUACACACCGCCCGUCACACCACGAAAGCUGUCUGUACUCGAAGUCGCUGAG